GUCCUUAUGGUGUAGCGGAUGCACAAGGGAUUUCUACUCCCUUAGCGCGGGUUCGAAUCCUGCUGAGGACU
rfam:Listeria phage A511, complete genome.